UACGUAGGGAGCAAGCGUUGUCCGGAAUCAUUGGGCGUAAAGCGCGCGUAGGCGGCCCGAUAAGUCCGCCGUAAAAGUCAACGGCUCAACUGUUGAAAGCCGGUGGAUACUGUCGGGCUAGAGUACGGAAGAGGCAAGUGGAAUUCCUGGUGUAGCGGUGAAAUGCGCAGAUAUCAGGAGGAACACCGGUGGCGAAGGCGGGUCUCUGGGCCGAUACUGACGCUGAGGAGCGAAAGCGUGGGGAGCGAACAGG
rnacentral:rRNA from 1 species